UACAGAGGGCUCAAGCGUUGUUCGGAUUCAUUGGGCGUAAAGGGUGCGUAGGCGGCGCGGUAAGUCGGGUGUGAAAUCUUGGAGCUUAACUCCGAAACUGCAUUCGAUACUGCCGUGCUUGAGGACUGGAGAGGAGACUGGAAUUUACGGUGUAGCGGUGAAAUGCGUAGAUAUCGUAAGGAAGACCAGUGGCGAAGGCGGGUCUCUGGACAGUUCCUGACGCUGAAGCACGAAGGCCAGGGGAGCAAACGGG
rnacentral:rRNA from 1 species